rnacentral:rRNA from 1 species
CCUACGGGCGGCUGCAGUGGGGAAUAUUGGACAAUGGGCGAAAGCCUGAUCCAGCCAUGCCGCGUGUGUGAAGAAGGCCUUCGGGUUGUAAAGCACUUUCAGUGGGGAAGAAAGCCUUGGGGCUAAUACCCUCGAGGAAGGACAUCACCCACAGAAGAAGCACCGGCUAACUCCGUGCCAGCAGCCGCGGUAAUACGGAGGGUGCGAGCGUUAAUCGGAAUUACUGGGCGUAAAGCGCGCGUAGGCGGUCUGAUAAGCCGGUUGUGAAAGCCCCGGGCUCAACCUGGGAACGGCAUCCGGAACUGUCAGGCUAGAGUGCAGGAGAGGAAGGUAGAAUUCCCGGUGUAGCGGUGAAAUGCGUAGAGAUCGGGAGGAAUACCAGUGGCGAAGGCGGCCUUCUGGACUGACACUGACGCUGAGGUGCGAAAGCGUGGGUAGCUAACAGGAUUAGAUACCCGAGUAGUC